AGACCCGAAACCCGGUGAUCUAGCCAUGGGCAGGUUGAAGGUUGGGUAACACUAACUGGAGGACCGAACCGACUAAUGUUGAAAAAUUAGCGGAUGACCUGUGGCUGGGGGUGAAAGGCCAAUCAAACCGGGAGAUAGCUGGUUCUCCCCGAAAGCUAUUUAGGUAGCGCCUCGUGAAUUCAUCUCCGGGGGUAGAGCACUGUUUCGGCUAGGGGGCCAUCCCGGCUUACCAACCCGAUGCAAACUGCGAAUACCGGAGAAUGUUAUCACGGGAGACACACGGCGGGUGCUAACGUCCGUCGUGAAGAGGGAAACAACCCAGACCGCCAGCUAAGGUCCCAAAGUCAUGGUUAAGUGGGAAACGAUGUGGGAAGGCCCAGACAGCCAGGAUGUUGGCUUAGAAGCAGCCAUCAUUUAAAGAAAGCGUAAUAGCUCACUGGUCGAGUCGGCCUGCGCGGAAGAUGUAACGGGGCUAAACCAUGCACCGAAGCUGCGGCAGCGAACGUAUCACCCAAGACAACUUUACGGAGUUGACGAUUGACGGAGCGAAGCGACGUCAAAGCGUUCAUUAAAGUCGAGUUGGCUUAGGGAUACGUUCGUUGGGUAGGGGAGCGUUCUGUAAGCCUGUGAAGGUGUGUCGUGAGGCAUGCUGGAGGUAUCAGAAGUGCGAAUGCUGACAUAAGUAACGAUAAAGCGGGUGAAAAGCCCGCUCGCCGGAAGACCAAGGGUUCCUGUCCAACGUUAAUCGGGGCAGGGUGAGUCGACCCCUAAGGCGAGGCCGAAAGGCGUAGUCGAUGGGAAACGGGUUAAUAUUCCCGUACUUGGUGUUACUGCGAAGGGGGGACGGAGAAGGCUAUGUUGGCCGGG
rnacentral:rRNA from 7 species